rnacentral:rRNA from 1 species
UAAGGCGGACGCAAGCGUUGUUCGGAAUCACUGGGCGUAAAGCGCGUGUAGGCGGCUUGGCAAGUCGGAUGUGAAAUCCCGAGGCUCAACCUCGGAACUGCACUCGAAACUGCCUGGCUCGAGUCCCGGAGAGGGUGGCGGAAUUCCCGGUGUAGGGGUGAAGUCCGUAGAUAUCGGGAGGAACACCAGUGGCGAAGGCGGCCACCUGGACGGUGACUGACGAUGAGACGCGAAAGCGUGGGGAGCAAACAGG